rnacentral:lncRNA from 1 species
AAAUUAAUAAUUUAUAUAAGCAACCUAUCAAAUAUGACUGACUAUAUUUUAACAUUUCAUUUGAAAUCAAAUCAGGUCCACAGGCCUUGCCUGAUUUUAAGCUUGCAAUAGCAUCAGAAAUUUCUUUUUUACUAAUAUCAUUAUCUAAAUCAUUAAAAACUAAAUUUUUUUCUUUGUCAUUCAGGAUCAUUUCCAACUGGUUAAGUCGUGAAUAAAAUGUGUUAUCAAUUGCAGAGUGAAGAUUACGGAAGUGAUUGGCCCAUGUAUCAGAAUCAAUUUGUGAAGAGCAGUUUUCUUUUUUGCUAUCCUGAAUGUCAUUUAUUAAUUUCCAAUACUGCUUAGGGUUUUCAACUCUAAGAGUAUCAAGUUUUUGUAGCAUGGAAUUGAUAAAUUGCUUAUAUUUAACUUUUCUACAUUUAUUAUAGAUUCUAAAAUGUUUAUAGUAUCUGCCUUUAAUAACAGGAUCCUUA